rnacentral:rRNA from 1 species
UACGGGGGGGGCAAGCGUUGUUCGGAAUCACUGGGCGUAAAGCGCGUGUAGGCGGCCCACUAAGUCUGAUGUGAAAGCCCGGGGCUCACCCCCGGAAGUGCAUUGGAAACUGGUGGACUCGAGUCCCGGAGAGGAGAGUGGAAUUCCUGGUGUAGCGGUGAAAUGCGUAGAUAUCAGGAGGAACACCGAUGGCGAAGGCAGUGUUCUGGGCCAGUACUGACGCUGAGGAGCGAAAGCGUGGGGAGCAAACAGG